rnacentral:rRNA from 1 species
GACGAACGCUGGCGGCGUGCUUAACACAUGCAAGUCGAACGCAGUGGCGAACGGGUGAGUAACGCGUAAUCAACCUGCCCUUCAGAGGGGGACAAAAGUUGGAAACGACUGCUAAUACCGCAUACUGAAGAAGGGGAUGGCGUCUGAUUAGCUAGUUGGGGGGGUAACGGCCCACCAAGGCGAUGAUAAGUAGCCGGUCUGAGAUGAUUAACCGCCACAGUUUGACUGAGACCCGGCCCAGACUCCUACGGGAGGCCGCCGUGGGGAAUCUUCCGCAAUGGACGAAAGUCUGACGGAGCAACGCCGCGUGGUUGAUGACGGCCCUCGGGUUGUAAAGCUCUUUUAAACGGGACGCGGUACCGGAAGAGAAAGCCACGGCUAACUACGUGCCAGCAGCCGCGGUAAUAC